rnacentral:rRNA from 1 species
GACGAACGCUGGCGGCGUGCUUAACACAUGCAAGUCGAACGGAAAGGCCCUGCUUGCAGGGUACUCGAGUGGCGAACGGGUGAGUAACACGUGGGUGAUCUGCCCUGCACUUCGGGAUAAGCUUGGGAAACUGGGUCUAAUACCGGAUAGGAGCCAUCUUUAGUGUGGUGGUUGGAAAGUUUUUUCGGUGUAGGAUGAGCUCGCGGCCUAUCAGCUUGUUGGUGGGGUAAUGGCCUACCAAGGCGGCGACGGGUAGCCGGCCUGAGAGGGUGUACGGCCACAUUGGGACUGAGAUACGGCCCAGACUCCUACGGGAGGCAGCAGUGGGGAAUAUUGCACAAUGGGCGCAAGCCUGAUGCAGCGACGCCGCGUGGGGGAUGAAGGCCUUCGGGUUGUAAACUCCUUUCGCUAGGGACGAAGCUUUGUUGUGACGGGACCUAGAUAAGAAGCACCGGCUAACUACGU